ACUGGCCCGGUGGGGUGGCGUGUGCGCGUCGGCCACGUGGGGAAGCGAGAAUGCAGGGGCCGGAGGCUUAGGGACGAUGCCUGUGUGGGGCAGGAUAGAAUUGUAGCAGGCGGCGCUGGGGCUGAUGCGUCUCACCCGGAUUAUCCUCUGUAAUCCUCACAGCCCUGUGAAGUAAGCACUGCCGUGAACAUUUUGUAAAUAAGGGACCCGAGGCCCAGAGAGGUGAAGUAACUUUCCAGAUGGCCCAGCUAGUUAGCGGCCAGCAUUUGAAGUCAGACUCCAGGGUCUGUUUUUAUCCUAAGAGCCGCUAUGACUGGAUAAGCAACAUGUGUGUGUUUAAGUGAUCAAAUAACCAUGGAGUGUGUCUGAUGUCCAGGACUUUUGAGAAAUACCGGAAAAGUAUGAGGCAAGGCCCCUGCCUGCAAAGAGCUUGCAAGUUUUGCGGGGAGACUGAGUCAGGCACAAAUUAACGAACCACUGUUGAGCACUUGCUGCUUGCCAGAACCCAGCCCUUCCCCUCGAGUCUUCCUCCGUUACCCUCCCCCUCAAUUCUCACAAAAACCCUGGGAGGUAGGCCUUAGUUUGCAAAUGAAGAACCCGAGAUUGAAGAAGAGUAGAGAUUGGAGGAUCAGGUCCUGAGAGGUCCCAGGUGCUUUCCAAUAACAGUUCAGUAUGUUAGAAGACAGUAUGGCAUUCAUGGCCAAGUACUACUUGUUGAUAGACUGGAUGAUGCUAUGGUAAUCUGCCUCAGGAAAAUGCCGGACAGUAGUUUGCAAGCUUGCUAAGUGAGCAAAACUUGGGAAGAUUUCAAGGUCUGACAGCCCUGCCAUUUCCUAACUUCUGCUUUGUGGCCAUCCUCCUACCUUUGGAAGCUCCAGUCAUGACCCACAGUGUUGGUCACAUCCUGGGAACUCUCUCUUUCUUCUCCCAGUGGUUCAUUCUCCAAGUCUGAGUUAUUCAGUCAAAAAAAAAAAAAAAAAAAAAAAACCCAAAUGCUUCAGACAACUCUUGCAAACUAGUCCUGGCUUUUGGUGUUCCAGGCCACAGAAGAGCACUGAUAGUACAUGGGUCCUCCAAGUGUUUGUUUCCUCACCACUAUGUUAAACCUUAAUAACAUCUUGAAUCCAAAACUCAAUCUCUGCAUCUGUGAAAACUCAACCUGUGACAAAUGGGAAGCCAUUGAAGGAUUUUUGAGCAAAGAAUUCAAGAAGUGAGAUGAUGAAGGCAACGUCAUCAUUUGGAAAGCAUCACAGUAAGACGCACACGUUGUGCCGCCACUGUGGCUCGAAAGCCUACCACCUUCAAAAGUCGACCUGUGGAAAAUGUGGCUACCCUGCCAAGCACAAGAGAAAGUAUAACUGGAGUGCCAAGGCUAAAAGACGAAAUACCACCAGGACUGGUCGAAUGAGGCACCUAAAAAUUGUAUACCGCAGAUUCAAGCAUGGAUUCUGUGAAGGAACUACACCUAAACCCAAGAGGGCAGCUGUUACUGCAUCCAGUUCAUCUUAAGAAUUUCAAUGAUUAGUAAUGCAAUAAAUGUUCUGGUUUUAAAAAGUACAAAUAAAUAAAAUAAUUAAUAUCCAGAAGAAGUUUAUUAUGUUUGAAAAGGAUUUGAAAGUUAGAUUUUUAUUUCAUUCUAUAUAAAUUCCCAAGAUGGAAUAAUUUUGGGGAACAACCAAAUAUAAAUUAAACAUUACGCCAAGCACGGUGGCUUAUGCCUAUAAUCCCAGCGCUUUGGUAGGCUGAGGCGUGCUGAUUACUUGAAGUCAGGAGUUCGAGACCAGUCCGACCAACAUGGAGAAACCCCGUCUCUACUAAAAAUAAAAAAUUAGCUGGGCAUUACCAAGGCUUUUAGAAUGCUUUUUCUCAUUUGCUGUGGACACGACCAUAAAAAAAUUUCCCGGUAGGUUUGCUAUCUGCUACCUUGCUAGCAAUCAGCCUAUUCGGAAUAUUUGAUUAACUGUAAUAGAAAUGCAAUACAAAUAUAAUGUGAGCCCCAUGUGAAUAUUCUUUUUUUUCUAAUAGCUGUUUCAUCGGUAAUCAAUGAGAUUUUAAAAUUGUCUUUUGGGCAGUGUAGCCUAGAUCUCUUGAAUCAUGUAAAUGUGCUUUGCCCUUGUCUUGUAACCCUUGUGAAUUAUAACCCUUGUGGAUUGCAGUUUGUGUGUAGCCGUUAACUCAGGCUGGUUCUAGGACUCAUUCAUGUUCACUCACUGUACAAUCAUCUCUGGAAAUGUAAAAUUUACUUUUAUAUUAUUGUUAUGUAGGGCUGACAGGACAAGUAGAUUAAAAUAAGCAUCAGUUUCAUUAAAAAGGGCUAACCUGAAGAUAAAUCUUUUCACUCCAACUCUUACUUUUUUUGCUUUUUUUU